CUCGUAAUAUUUGUAAACAAAAAAUUUUUAAAAAUAAUUUUAAAAGGAGAUUUUUUGAGUAAUUUUGGUUAAAAUUUUAAUUUUUACAAGUUUGUGAGGAAGUUAAAUUUACUAAAUUAUUAAAAAAUCUUUAAAUUUGAUCAAAACCUAACAUGUCUUCGAAGUCAUAAAAAAUGUUUCAAAUUCAAUAUCAGAUUGUAUCAGAAGAAGCACUUGAACAUCCCAUUCACGAGGAAAUAGUUUACGAGGAGCUUGACGAUGAUAUUCAAGAUGUCCCAAUUUCUGUAGUAGAAGUUCCUGCUGAAAUUCCUGUAAUUGUUCCUUGCCUUUCUGAUGUACAAACUUCCGAAAAUGUGGUUGAAGAGGCUUCGGAAGAAGAAAAUUCAGAUCAAGAUUUCUUCAAAAAAAAUUUUGAUGGCAAAAAAUUAGUUGUUAGCUUAACGGAUUUCAGAAAAAAUGAUCAUCGUUGUUUUAUUUGCAAGGCGAAAUUCUCAUCAAAAUAUAAUUGUGUGAAGCAUAUAACUUACGUUCAUCUAAUCGACGUGCAAAGACCAAAACACAAAUGCAAUGAAAAAGGCUGCGAUUUAUCUUUCGAUUUUAUAAGUCACUUGAAGGAACAUCAAAGAAAAUGUCACGAUUUUAGAAUCCAGUGCGAAAAAUGUGAAAAGUCUUUUAUGCAUAAAAAACAUUUGAAUUGGCACGUGAAGAAGAGACAUAAAUGACUGGAUCGAGAUUUGAGUUGAGUUGAAUUUAAAAAAAAUUUAUGAUUAACUUAAAAAAUUGUAAAAAAAUUGAAAUAAAAAUAAAUUAAAAAAAAUAAAUAAA